rnacentral:rRNA from 1 species
GAUGAACGCUGGCGGCGUGCCUAAUACAUGCAAGUCGAGCGAACAGACGAGGAGCUUGCUCCUCUGACGUUAGCGGCGGACGGGUGAGUAACACGUGGAUAACCUACCUAUAAGACUGGGAUAACUUCGGGAAACCGGAGCUAAUACCGGAUAAUAUAUUGAACCGCAUGGUUCAAUAGUGAAAGACGGUUUUGCUGUCACUUAUAGAUGGAUCCGCGCCGCAUUAGCUAGUUGGUAAGGUAACGGCUUACCAAGGCAACGAUGCGUAGCCGACCUGAGAGGUGGUUCGCCAACCUGGAACUGAGACAAGGUCCAGACUCCUACGGGAGGCAGCAGUAGGGAAUCUUCCGCAAUGGGCGAAAGCUUGACGGAGUAACGCCGCGUGAGUGAUGAAGGUCUUCGGAUCGUAAAACUCUGUUAUUAGGGAAGGACAAAUGUGUAAGUAACUAUGCACGUCUUGACGGUACCUAAUCAGAAAGCCACGGCUAACUACGUG